rnacentral:rRNA from 1 species
UUAUCCGGAAUGAUUGGGCGUAAAGGGUGCGUUGGUGGCAGAACAAGUCUGGAGUAAAAGGUAUGGGCUCAACCCGUACUGGCUCUGGAAACUGUUCAGCUAGAGAACAGAAGAGGACGGCGGAACUCCAUGUGUAGCGGUAAAAUGCGUAGAUAUAUGGAAGAACACCGGUGGCGAAGGCGGCCGUCUGGUCUGUUGCUGACACUGAAGCACGAAAGCGUGGGGAGCAAAUAGGAUUAGAUACCCUAGUAGUCCACGCCGUAAACGAUGAGAACUAGGUGUUGGGGGAAUAACUCAGUGCCGCAGUUAACGCAAUAAGUUCUCCGCCUGGGGAGUAUGCACGCAAGUGUGAAACUCAAAGGAAUUGACGGGGGCCCGCACAAGCGGUGGAGUAUGUGGUUUAA